rnacentral:rRNA from 1 species
ACAAGCAGCUAUAUCACCCUGCAGCUCUUAACUAGCUACCCACUGAAGCUAAUCAGGGUUGAGCCUGGCCAGUACCUCGUACCUGGAUGGGUGACCUCCUGGGAAGCUAUGGUUGCUGCUGGAA